rnacentral:lncRNA from 1 species
GAGAGGCCCGAAGCCCUGGAGACAGCGCCCGAGGGAUGGAGGCCGCGCUCGGCUGCGCUCAGGUCCGGGUGGCUCCGGGAGCUGAGACCCCGCAGGAUGCAGCGGGGGGGGGCCAGGGCCUGAUCCCCUACCCCUGCGAGCCAGGGCCGCCUACGCCCCCACUGCUUCCCACAGGCUACUAGACGCAACAAUAGAAUUACCAUAUUGUUUUUCCUGGUUUGAAAGGACCAGAUGGAAAGAAACUGGGCAAGCCAAUGAAAGUCUCUGGGGAUCAUGGGAAUUGAGUGUCUAUGAAAACCAUAUUCCAGACAAGAAUAUAGUCUAAGGACACAGCAAGAGGCAACAUUUUGGAAGCAGAGGGCAACUCUCACUGGAAACCAAAUCUCCUGGCACCUUGAUCUUGGAUUUUACAGCCUCCAGAACUGAUAGCUGGGAGGCAUUACAUAGUCAUGUGCGAGGUCAAAACUGAGUCACCACCACAACCAAGUUCCAGCUGGCAAGAAGAGGAAAAAUAACACAGAGGAGUUAUGACCAGUGUUGUAAGGAUCUGGCCUAGAAAUGGCAUGCAUCUCUUCCACUAAUAUCCUAUUGGUAAAAAUGUAGUCACAUGGGCACACCACCUAUCUGCAUGGAAGGCUGGGAAAUGUUGAUCGGUAGGGCAGCCAUAUGUGUAGGAAGGAGAAAACAGAAUUUGGUGGAUACCUAGUAGUCUCUGCCAUACCCUUGACCAGAAAUUUUUCUUCUAAAGAAUUUAAUUCUAAAAGUUAUAGACAUUCCCAAAGAUAUACCUGCAAGCAUCACAGCUUUGUGUAUAAUUGCAAAAGUUGAAAUCAACAUGAAUGCCCAAAAUAGUGAAUUAUUUAAACAGAUUAUUACCCAUAUUAUGAAGAAAUACUCUGCAACUCUUAAAAAUAAAUGUAAUGUGCCAGGCGCAAUGGGAUAUGCCUGCAGGCCCAGCUACACGGGAGGCCAAGGCAGGAGGAUCACUUGAAAUCAAGAGUUCAAGUCUAGCCUAGACAACAUAGUGAGACUUGGUCUCUAAAAAAGAAAAAAAAAAAUAAAACUGAUGUAAUGAAUAUAUAAUUACAACAAAAGAGGUCUAACACUAUAGUAGAAAAGUUUGGGGCACUCAUCCCAUUCAUAAUUAUUUUACAUUUAAAUUACUGUUCCUACUUAAGUGGUGAGCUUGGUAACCAUUUUCAUAUCAGGUGAUACUGCUGCAGUAAUCAUAGCUGUUUGAAUCAGGAAUAAUCCCAAUCACAUUUUCUCUUAAUCGUUUAUUAUACUGGGCAUUGGGGUUGCAAGAUAAUGCACAGUCCGAGCUCAAUACAUGUCUUCAUGUACCUGUAUGUAAAUCCCACUUUUAUUCUAAAAUUCUUUGAAUAUUUUGUUUCUUGGAACCCAAUGAUCCUAAGAAAAUUAUGUACUUUUACCUGAAAAUUAAAACCAAUAUUUAUAAAAAGUGUAUAUGCAGUAUGAUACCACUUUUAAAAAAAGAUAAAUUUAUAGAAAAAAGUUUAUAUGACUGACAACAAUGUCUCUGAGUGGUAGGAUUACAGUUAAUUUUUAUUUUCUUCAUUCUACUUAUCUUUAUUUUCUGAACUUUCUACAAUGAACAUGUUUUAUUUUUACUUUUGUUAAAAUAAAUAACAUUUAAUUUGACGGAAAAUUCUAAAAAUCAACAUUUGGUAACUUAAAUAUUCAUUGGCACAUGAUUCUGUGCCUGUUUCUGGGGGUCAUUCCCAUGAGAAGAGCAGGUAGAACUUAUGAGAAUAGAGCAGUCGAAAUAUUAUAGGUUUCAUAUUUUACGGCUUUAUUGAAAACAUUGAUAUAUUGAAUAUUCAUAAAUUUUAAUUUAACUUUCUUUUAUAAUCCUUAAUGUGAGGCUAAGGUAUAAGGAGAAAGGAGAUUGGUAAGGAAGUGUGAUACAUAUUGAAUCAGGUGUCAAGGUACCAUUUGUGCCUGGAUCUGACCAAUAGACCAAGGUAAAAAUCUCAAAGAAUGAGACUUGUAAUGAGAAUGCCACAAACUUGAAUACCUUAUGCACAAAACACAAACAUUGUUAUGCAUAAUGUACAUGAACCCUGAAACAAAGAUAAUGAUUUGGACCACCCAACUGAAGUGGCAUGUUAUGUUUUUGGCAUGAACAAAAGAAACAAGAGAGAAAAAAAUCAAAAUAAUUAAAAUAAAUUGUUAGAGAAAAGUUACUUUAAAAAUAGCUAUAACGCUUUGCAAUUUCAGUAACAGUUCUGCCUCUGAUGCAAUGUAAAACAUGUAUUAGACAUUCAGGCUCCACAAUAAAUUUUAAUGAGCACUACAAAUUUAGAAUAUAUAAAAAUAUCAGUAACCUAUGAAUUCAUCAACAUAACUCACUUUUCAGUUAAGUUAGGCUGAGUUGAAAUUCUACUAAGUUUUCCCAUAUUCUUGAUAAAGGCUAAAUUUGAAAUAAUUUAUUUAGAUGACUAAUUGGCAAUUUGAUAGUAGUUACAUUUUAUGUAACACUUGAUAUAAUAACCCAAAUUAAUUAGCUCAAUAUUAUCUUCUGUGGUUUAUUGAUCCAAAAGUACAUAUUUGUUAUGUAAACUUAUACUAUGUAAACUUGAAUUAGUUUUUUGCUUCCUUGAAUUAAUAAAGCCCAUUAAUGCAAAUCUAAGCCUUCAUAGACUUUUCCAAUCCUUAGUUAAAUAUUAAAAACUGAGUAUUGUAGUUAUUUGCUAGGUAUAAAAGGUGACUCAGAGUAGAGAGUAAGAUGUCAGCAAAUAGACAAUAAGAUGUCAGCAAAAGUGCCUCAAAUUUUAACUGCGUCAAGUUAAGGGCAUUGUAAAUACUGUAGUUUUAUGUAGCUUGCAACUUCUACUGAAAUGAGUUUAAUCAUGUCUUUCACAUAGCUGAAGUUUGUGUCAAGAUUUAAGCUGAUUUUCUCAUUCUUAUCAAAGUCUCACCUGGGGGUAGGGAGGGGUAGGCCUACCUCCCACCUCUAUACUAUCAUUUUAGGAACAGACAGGCAUAAAUCUGUUCAUAUGGUAGAACACAUGAUGUUAGAGUAUAUUUUGUUGAAUGCUAUGGAAUAUUAAUAUAAUUAAUUCUAAAAUAUCACCUAAAAUAUGUCAACUGAAGAUCUGACUGUACUAAAUAUGAAAAAUAAAGCAGCACAUACUUUCU